GACGAACGCUGGCGGCGUGCUUAACACAUGCCAGUCGAACGGAAAGGCCCUGCUUUUGUGGGGUGCUCGAGUGGCGAACGGGUGAGUAACACGUGAGUAACCUGCCCUUGACUUUGGGAUAACUUCAGGAAACUGGGGCUAAUACCGGAUAGGAGCUCCUGCUGCAUGGUGGGGGUUGGAAAGUUUCGGCGGUUGGGGAUGGACUCGCGGCUUAUCAGCUUGUUGGUGGGGUAGUGGCUUACCAAGGCUUUGACGGGUAGCCGGCCUGAGAGGGUGACCGGCAACAAUGGGACUGAGAGACGGCGCAGACGCCUACGGGAGGCAGCAGGGGGGAAUAUGGCACAAUGGGCGGAAGCGUGAUGCAGCAACGCCGCGUGCGGGAUGACGGCCUUCGGGUUGUAAACCGCUUUCGCCUGUGACGAAGCGUGAGUGACGGUAAUGGGUAAAGAAGCACCGGCUAACUACGUG
rnacentral:rRNA from 1 species